rnacentral:rRNA from 1 species
GACGAACGCUGGCGGCGUGCCUAAUACAUGCAAGUCGAGCGCAGGAAACUGACGGAACUCUUCGGAGGGAAGGCAGUGGAAUGAGCGGCGGACGGGUGAGUAACACGUAAGGAACCUGCCUCAAGGAUUGGGAUAACUCCGAGAAAUCGGAGCUAAUACCGGAUAGUUCAACGGACCGCAUGGUCCGCUGAUGAAAGGCGCUGCGGCGUCACCUUGAUAUGGCCUCGCGGUGCAUUAGGUAGUUGGUGGGGUAACGGCCCACCAAGGCGACGAUGCAUAGCCGACCUGAGAGGGUGAUCGGCCACACUGGGACUGAGACACGGCCCAGACUCCUACGGGAGGCAGCAGUAGGGAAUCUUCCACAAUGGACGAAAGUCUGAUGGAGCAACGCCGCGUGAGUGAUGAAGGUUUUCGGAUCGUAAAACUCUGUUGUAAGGGAAGAACACGUACGAGAGGAAAUGCUCGUACCUUGACGGUACCUUACGAGAAAGCCACGGCUAACUACGUGCCAGCCGCCGCGGUAAAAC